rnacentral:misc_RNA from 1 species
GACGAAAGAACGGCGAAACAUCGGUAAGUCACAACGUGAACAUGCUUUUUUUUUUGGUUGUUUGCAGCACCUCCCCCUAUCCCGCCGAUGUGUGAACGCUUGCCAGCGCGCGUCUCUCGCUCUCGCCCACCUGCGUCUUAGCAUAUGUGCGCGCGUGUGCAGCAGAGGGGGCAUAGGGGUGCUAAUGUGGCUCGAUGGCCGUCGUCACACACACCCUCCUCUUCCACAGCGACCGGCCGUCUUCUCGUUGUUUGAAUAGUGACGAUCGAUCUGCCCUCCCCCUUUUGUUGUCAUGGACAUCGUACAGCAACUCUUUCGGUGCGUGUUCGGCGCUCUGAGUCCGUCAUGGCGGGGGCGACACCGCUCAGUGCUUCGUACCUCAGGGUCCAGCACGCCCGCUCUCUGUGUCGGGAAGCCAAGCAGCCCCUUAUGUCCCUGCCGAUGCCAGACCACCUCUGGCGCAGACAGGGUCAAGCACCCCACGGCGCAAGGAGGGGCCAGAGCGAGCCGCGACAGUGCAGACGUGUGCGCCAUCCAUGGGAUGGGCAAUGCGCCAGCCUGACCCGCACCUACCUCACCAGGCCCUCACACUGCCCUGCCGGUGGGGUGGUGGGGAGCCUGGGCCACCCCGAUGGCGGCACCGCGUGGCGACCGGCACAAUGGGAGCGGCUGUGCGGCGACCUGCGAGGCGGGGAUGGUGGGCGGAGUCUGAGUCCGAGGCGAUGCUCCUAUGAAUGAGUAGGCGCAUCGCUGUAACGUGUGCGUGUGUGUGCGCGUGUUCGGCUGCUUCGCACGACGCGGAUGGGGGCCUGUGACAGGGCUGGUGUGUGUGUGUGUGGUGUGCGUGUGGUGGUGGGGAGGUGCAGCUUAGUUUGACCUCAUGCUCUAUGGCCGGAGUACUGCACACGACGAAGGAAGAGGAGAAAAGGGUGCGCUGGACGGGAAAAGGGGUAUAGCGGCAGUGACAUCGCGCUGUCGUCGCGCCACCCAUUUGGUCGCCCCGGAACAGACUACAGCACAGAAGACGAUUUAUUUCCUUAGUGGCGAACAUGCCGCUGUUGCGUGCACGGUAGCUCUACGACGGACUCAGGCGAACGCACAUUGAGGGAGCGUGUGCUUACAAAGUCCUGUGUCGGGCCCGCACGCACACGCACCCACCACCCGACACCAGUGGUGCCGGUGGUCUCGUAUUGUGCUAGUCGUCAAGAGAGAACCAUGCGUUGCCUCUUCUCUUUUCUCUGCCCGCCGUCCACGGGCCAUGAGCGGGGCCGCGUAUGCGUGACCGCCAACGGCGUCUCCCUUUCCUGCUGCUGCUGCUCGAAUAUGUUUUCCACUGCGCCUCGCUCGCUCUCCUCCGUGGAUCAUGGUUGGCAGCUGGCAUACUCUUGUUUCUUUCUCCACACACUGGCAUUUUCUUUUUCCGGGGAACGCACGUGCAUGCACACAUGUUAACGCACUGCACUAUCUGACGCUGUCUCCCGCUUUCUCACACUUUUCGCACGCAG